GACGAACGCUGGCGGCGUGCUUAACACAUGCAAGUCGAACGGAGAGGCCCUGCUUUUGUGGGGUGCUCGAGUGGCGAACGGGUGAGUAACACGUGAGUAACCUGCCCUUGACUUUGGGAUAACUUCAGGAAACUGGGGCUAAUACCGGAUAGGAGCUCCUGCUGCAUGGUGGGGGUUGGAAAGUUUCGGCGGUUGGGGAUGGACUCGCGGCUUAUCAGCUUGUUGGUGGGGUAGUGGCUUACCAAGGCUUUGACGGGUAGCCGGCCUGAGAGGGUGACCGGCCACAUUGGGACUGAGGUACGGCCCAGACUCCUACGGGAGGCAGCAGUGGGGAAUAUUACACAAUGGGCGGAAGCCUGAUGCAGCAACGCCGGGUGCGGGAUGACGGCCUUCGGGUUGUAAACCGCUUUCGCCUGUGACGAAGCGUGAGUGACGGUAAUGGGUAAAGAAGCACCGGCUAACUACGUG
rnacentral:rRNA from 1 species